rnacentral:lncRNA from 1 species
UCAUAAAACGACGUAGUACAGAGAGGUUACUACGUCAUUUUAAGGCUUGUUAGUAACAAGUAAAUCCUGUCCAUCCAUUCAUUCUCAUCUGAUGGUCAUAAUUAACUAGAGAAUUUGGAUAUAAGUAUCCUAAAACUGAAUUGAAACCCUAGAAAAAUAUCACCUUCCUUGUACCUACCUGUAAUGCCGCCUCCCCUGUCACUGCUCUACCGUCCGCCGGAAAUCGUCGCCGGCGGCGGCGGAGCUCCAAAUGAGCCCAAAACUUCACCACCAACACUCCUUCCUCUUCUUUCCGACCCCCGUAACCAUUUCCCUCAAAUCCCAUCCAAUCAACUCGAAUCUUAAUCCGAAACUUUCUGGCCAAGUGACAAGUUUUUCCAAAUAAUCCCAAAUUGAUACCAUACAAUCUCCUAGGCUUUCUCUGCACAAAUAUGUGGGUAUUUAACUUUACAUAUAGCUAGGCCGCCUCCAAUUUCCAAUGUAGGGUUGUAUGUGUUUGGACUGGUUUGGGAUUUUUUAAUUCGAAUGAACUUGUGUUAAUGUUAUGGGUCUAUUUCUUAUGAAAUGGACAUAUAAUAUUAACAUUUGAAGUUAGCUUUUCUAUUAAAUUGAUUCGUUGUUUUCUAGUAUAGUUCUUAAUUCCCAGUCUAGUUAGUAAAACCUCGUUGCUUUUAAUUGUUAUAAAUGUUUAGAUUAACUUCUUUUAGGUUGAUUGUCAUUUUUUUCUGUGAAUUCUGAUUCAAUUUUGGUUUCGUUAGUUUGAAUUCUCAAAUGUUAAGUGGUUCAGCUAAUCGUUAGUUUAAUUUGGCUUUUUCUAUUGUUCUGUUGAUGUGAUGUUGAUUUGGGAUAGGGCCAUGAUUCCAGAAAUUGGCUUAGUUUUAUAUGUCUGAUAAAGUUUUUAGGUUCAGUAGUAUAAAGGUUAAAUUUCUGUUAAUCUAUUCAAAUAUAAUUGUAGUUUGUUCAUGUUGAUUUUGUCUGUUUUAUUCUUCUGGAACUCACUCGGGUUGAUUUCAGUUUAUGAUUUUACUUGUUGGUUGUCAAUUCAAUUAGUGUUAAUUGGUAUUGAUUAUUGCAGAGUUUUAAUUAGGUUUAAGGUUUGGAUAUAGCUGAGUGGUCUAGUUUAUUUAACUUUAGUAAGGUGUUAACUGGGGUAAAGAGGUUUAGUGUAGUCAACUAAGGCCAGUAAUUUUAGACUAUUGGAAGGGCAAUUUAGGCAUAGAAAAGGGUAGUUUUAUUAGGAAUAGUAAUUUCAAAAUCAGGGCAGGGGUAGUAUAUGCAUUGUAUAGCUAAAAGAACCUUUCAGGACAUUCAAAAUGGGGCUUUAGUGUAAGUUUUAAUAAUUUUAGUAGUAGUUACUUGAGGAACAAGUUAGAAAUAGGAGGGUGAAAAUGAAAAUAGGUAGGGACUUAUAGUGUAAAUGGAAGAUUUGAGGGCUGCCCUCUUUUGGCUUAUAAAAGGGCAUUCCUAUACCUUGAAACACAAGCGGGGGGAACCUCUAAAAAUCCCCCAAAUACUCCUCAAGCUCAUAGAUCUGAAAAUUAAAAUUUCAGAUCCAAAUUCUUUAGUAUUCUAGCUUCCAUCAAAAGAAAAAACAAAAACAAAGUAGAAGAUCUUUAGGAAACAAAAAAGAGAAGUUCAGAAACUACUGUUCCAUUGAAGAUUUCGGGCUUUGGGUGUUUUAUUUUCAUUUCUUAGUUCGAAAUCUGUUGGUCGAGGGUUCAGAGGUGUUUUGAGUUUUCUUCAAGUGAUUUUAGGUGGUUUUUUGAUUGAGUUUUGCAUUGCGGAAGUUUCAAAAGUUUUGAGUUCAGCUUAGAAUCUGUUUGAAUGCAGUCCAGUAGUUUGUGAAUGAUGUUUUAGUCCCCGUUGGUUUCAAACUCUUUCUUGGUCAUUUCCAAGAAAAUUUGGUUUGUUUUGGAGUUGUCUGAGUCGAUCUUUCAGUUCUGAUUGGGUUUAAAUUUGGGUUGAUUUUGGUGAUUUGGGAAACUGUUAUUGCUUUUGGUUUUCAAACCUCUUCUGGGUUAUAAACUGAUUCCUGGGUUGUGUGUUGUUGCUACUCGCAUAUCUGCUGGUUUGCUGAUAUAGUGCUGCUACUGAUUUUCCUUUUUCUGUUGCAAAUUCCAUUUCCAGGUACAUGCUUGAGCUUGUUGUGAUGUAUUCCUCCCAUGAAAUGGGAAUGCAAUUGAUACUUGAUACAUGCUGAAGUGUCCUUUACUGUUUUAUCAACUCAUUUUAUUGCAGUUACUUUUAGAUUUGGUUUGUCUAAAUGGCAAUGCAAUUGAUACUUGAUACAUGAUGAAGUGUCCUUUACUGUUUUAUCAACUCAUUUUAUUGCAGUUAGUUUAAGAUUUGGUUUGACGAUUUUGCUACUCUAGCUCAUUUGUAAUGAACUGGGCCAAUAUGUAUUGGAUUGAUGAACUUUAAGCAUCAGCUACUCAUGUAAAUGGUUAGACUGAUUUUUGGCCUUUAACCAUGCUAUAGUGUAGUACAAGUCAUAAUUAUUCUCCAUUAAUUGAUACAUAUACAAGGAAAUAAUAGUUAUAAUGUUAUGUCAGGUUGAUAGGUAAGUCUAAGUUAGCUGUAGCUAAAUCCCCUUUAGUUGCCUUUGUGAAUUCGUUUAAAAUGAUAUAGAAAUGAAGAUGGAACAGAAGCAUUAGGAUGUCUGGAUUUAUUCAGAUUUGGAAAUAUUAUACUGCAAUUACAUAAAGUCACGCAUGCUUGGUUACCUUGAAAAGUGAUUUGUCCAUUUCGUUGUUUCAUUUCUGAAUAUAAAAAAAUUUCAUGAUGUGUAAUUAAUGGGCUGUUGACAAUUUUGAUAAGUCCGUUGGUCAGCUUGGUCAAAUUACAGAUAUGGCCAAUUCCAGUUGUUUUAGAAUUAAUUAAUGCAUCAGUGUUAAUCCUUGCCUGUGGUUUCGAUGUUGAGUUGAGGCCUCACCACCGCUUAAGUCUGUUUUGUGCUUAUGCUUGUGCUUACACCAAACAGACUCGACGUGGGUUCAAAGCACCAGAGUCUCUUGGGCCUGUGUUCCAUUCAAGUUGGGCUAAAUAACACCUCUUAAGGGGCUGGCAUUGAAGCUUGUCAACUGCAAGUGUCCAAUGGCAAACUCGCUUGGUCCAUUAAUCCAGACUUGGCUUAAAGGUCACAAUUCAUAUUUUAGUCUAACAUAAGCUCGGGUCUUGAGUUAGGUAGCGGGUUUAAGGUAAUUGGUCCGUCCUUUUGUUUGGUCCCGGAUUUGAAUUCGAAGCCGGAAUGCUAAUAUAAUUAAUUAGGAAUUUCUUUUUCUUUAAGAGACAAACAAAAAAAUAAAAAUAUAGUCGCUUUAGGUUUAUCCUUUAAAAAUAAAAUGAGACGAGCCUCGGCCAAUAAAAAUGCAAAAUUGCCGGAUAAAGGUGUAAAAAGAAUAUUUAGAAAAUCGGGAAGGGUCGUUUACCGAAUUUUACGACCCUCCCAAAAGAUAAUAACGUGUAGACUCUUUUAGACGUGAUUCUAAUAAAUUUACAUUCCUAAAUACACGUGAGAAUUUUAUGCGGCCUAAAUCCAAAUUCUAAAAUGUUGGAUAGAGUAUGCCUAGGAUUGCAGGUUCAUUUCAUGCGGCGCAAUCCGUAUGCACGCUUUAAACGAUGUUUACUUUUCUUCAAUAAAUAUUAUAUUAAAUAAAAGCGGUGAAGCAUAAAAUUGGCACAUAGGCUUUUCAUGUAAUAAAAUCAGAUAAAAGCUUAAUGCAAUAGUUGAGAGACCGUGCUAGAACCACGGAACCCGGGAAUGCUUAACACCUUCUCCCGGGUUAACAGAAUUCCUUAUCCGGAUUUCUGGUUCGCAGACUAUGAACAGAGUUAUCUUUUUCCUCGAUUCGGGAUUCACUCGGUGACUUGGAACACCAUUAAUCUCUCAAGUGGAGAAUCUGAAUAAAUAAUAACUAAAUCUCGUUCUGAUUGUCCUUUAAUUGGAAAAACUCCUUUAGGCCCCUUUGCGGGGGUGUACAGUGAAAAAAGAGGUGUGACAGCUCUGGCGACUCUGUUGGGGAUAAGAAACUAGAACGUUUUGUUCAGGAUUCAGAAUUCGAGCUUAGAAUAAUUGUUGUGUUUGGCUUUACCUGAUUUUGUUACAUGAUCUGUGCCUAAUGUGCUAAUUGACUACUUUCCCCGCUUUGAUAUUUGUUGAACUGUAUAUAAACUGUUCCGAAACCUAUCUCAAGUCUAAGUCUUCUAUAUCACGAAUAAGGGUGUAUUUUGUACGACUUCUUUUCUGUAUAGUGUCAAAUUGCAAUUUAGAACGAGGUUUGGAAAAGUUGCAAAGCCGGCAAAGCUUCUGUAUUCCCGGAUUGCUACCUCCCCCUCGGCUCGAGUUGUCUGCUUGGGUAAGCUAGGUCUAGAACAAACACUCAGGUUUUGAACUUAGAAUAACUCAGUCUCAUGUCGGAUCCCUAGUCGGAGCGCUUAUUAGCGUCAUGUGCAUUUUGACUUAGGGGACCCAACACAGGGGUUGGGUCGGUCUAGGGCUAGCAACCUGAAAUGAAAAAGACCAUCUUGACGCAUCCUACUUGUGUUCUGUGCAUUUAUUUGUUUCGGACCCAUAAGUUGACCGGCUUUUGAAUCUCGGGAAUGUUAAAAAUUUAAGAAAAAGAGAAAAACAGAAAAUAGCAGUUGGAGAGUUAACUGAUUGUUUUGGAAAAAAGCAAUGCCCAAAAACUGUAGAAACUCUGUCGAAAUUUUAGAAAAAAUGUAAAAAAAUAUUUUAUUUUUAAUGGUUUGUUUUACUAAAAAGCAAUGGGAAAUGAAAAAAAGAGAGAGUUCAUUUUUGAAAAAUUGUUUGUUGAAAAGAAAAAGAAAAAAGGCUUUAUUUUAAUUUGGAAAAUAGGUUGUUUGUUGAAAAUGAAAAAAAGUCGUUAUUUUGUCUUGUUUUCAAAAAUAGAAAAGAAAAUAUAUUUUUUUUGCCAUCAAAAAUGAUUUUAAGUCUUGUUUUCGAAAAUGAAAAAGAGAAAAAUAGAUUAUUUUGCUAUAGAAAAUGAACAAAAAAAAGUGUCUUUUAUUUUUAGGCUAUUUUAUUGUUUGUCGAAAAAGAAAAGAAAAGAGUCAUUUAUUUUUAGUUCGAAAAAUAGGUUGUUGUAUUGUUUGUUAAAAAAUAAAAAAAAGAGUCUUUUAUUUUUAAUUAGGAAAAUAGGUUGUCUGUUGAAAAAGAAAAGAACAAAAAAGAGUUUUGCUUUUAAAGUUAUGAAAUGCCAAAAAUGAAAAUGAAAAAGAAUCAUGUUUUAAAAUAGUUCGGUUAAUUUGCCCGAACUGCGCAUGGUUUGAUUCUCACAAGGCGUGAGAUACGUAGGCAACCAUCAUCGGGUCCAACCUCCCCUUUACAAAAAUAGCCCAAAAAUAUCAAAAUUUUAAUUUUUGUCAUAAAUAAACCAGAUGAUGUCGUUUUUGUCAAAAAUAUCCAAAUGUUCCCAAAAGGAACACUGGAAGGCUGGCUUUGCAUAAACAGCCACCUUUGGUCAUAUUUUGAUUUUUGACCCUCACAGCCUUAAAAUUUUCGUCCCCGAAGCGCUGAAAGGCCGUGUUUGGAAUAUCGGAUCAUUUGUUUUAAAUUUUAAAAAUAAGAAAAGAAUUAUAAGUAAGUCGGGUGCUGCCGUUUGUAAAAAAUAGCCAAUGUUCCCAAAUGGGGCGCCGGAAGGCUGACUUUGCAGAAACAACCACCUUUGCUCAUAUUUUUAUUCUGACCCUCACAACCUUAAAAUCUUCGUCCCCGAGGUAGAAGGUCGUGUUUGCAAUACCGGAUCAUUUAUUUUAAUUUGAAAAAACAAAAAAGAAAGUCAGUGGUCAAGUGAAUACCGUUCGGAUUUAAGGUCAAAAUUGGCAUAUAAGGGAAGGAAUCUGUCAAUUUGCUUUUGGGCUUGAAUUUCUUUUGAUUAGAGUAUAUGGAUCGUUUUAUUUUUGAGUCUAUAUUUCGUCGUUAAGUCGGUCAGUUUUGUUGUUAUUAUGAAAAUGGAAAAUUUCAAAAAUGUUUUACUGUCGUUUACCUUUUAUUUGCAAUAACUACGCACGGUAUAAUUCAUGCGAGGUCAUGAUACAUAGGCAAUCUCCAUAAGAUUCGACCACAACUAAAAAAAAGGAAAAAAAAUAAGAAAAGCAAAAGAAAAAAGAAAAAAGAAAAGAAGAAUUGAAUAAAAAAAAUGGGAAAAGUUGUUGUUGAUAAUGAGGACCGACUCAAUCAAUUCUAACAUGUUUUGUUUUGAAUUGUGAAUAAAGUUGAGGUGGUUUGUUUGUGGUAUCUCAUUCAUACAACACAAGGUCGAAUAGCAAGGCAGUCAUGGCAGGCAAAGUGUUGAACACGUGUAUUACUGAUCCAUCUAGGGGCAUUGUUUACUCAGAGUCAAAGUUGAAAGAAGAGGUUUUGAUACUGAAAAGACAGAUAGUCGAAAUGCACAAAGCUUGGGCCAGUGGGUGUCCUCUACCAUCAGUCCCCGAUGCCCAACAUUACAUUCCAGAACAAAUUUUAAAGGCCUCGAGUCCAUACCAUCACACUCUUCAUUUUGGGUCUCCCGGUGAUACUACGAAGCUUGCUAAAACAGUGGAUAGGAAUGAGAUAUCCAGAAAGCUGGAAGGGUUUAAGAUGCCGAAGUUUAAUUCGUAUGAUGUGCGGGGAGAUCCAAUGGACCAUUUGGGGGAUAAUUGAAAUACAGCGAGGAAUGUCGGCAAGGAAGAUGGGUUGUUGAUGUCGCAUUUCAGUGAGAGCCUGAUUGGGGCAACCUUGAAAUGGCAUGAUCGUCAAGAUAUCGGUAAGUGGCACACUCUGGGAAUCAUGGCUCGAGAUUUUUGCGACAUUUUCAGUACGAUAAAGACAUUGUCCUAUACCGUUCCUCCCUAUCUAGAAUAGAAAGAAAACUAGGGGAGAGCUUUAGAGAGUUUGGGCUCAGAUGGAAGUAGCAAGCUGCUCGAGUCAAUACCCCGAUUGGUGAAGAAGAGAUGGUUGAAAUUUUCAUACAAUCCUAGGGGCCCACUUACUUCAAUCAUUUUAUCCCUGCCGUGGGCAGACCUUUCGAUGAUAUGUUAAGAAUGGAGGAGUUCGUAGAACAAAGAAUCAAGUUGUGACGACCCGACCGGCCGUCUUUAGCAUUUAUGCCCCGUUCCCCCAUUAACUGCUUUCCCGAAGUUCAUUUCUGCUAUUUUGGGUUGGCGGGAUGUUCGAUAAUAGAAUUCGGAGUGUUUUGGGACACUUAGUCCCUAAGUGAGAUAUUAUGUAUUGGAAAAUGGCUCGUAAUCAGAACAGUGUGAAUAUGACCUCGGAAUGGAAAUCCGAUGGUUCCGUUAGCUUUGUUAGGUGAUUUCGGAGUUGGGAGCGUGUUCGGAAUGUAUUUUGGAUGUCCGUAGCUCAUUUAGGCUAGAAAUGCCGAAAAUUAGAAUUUUGAAGUUUCCGGUCCAAUAGUGAAUAUUUUAUCCGAGUGUCAGAAUGGGAUUUCAAAAGUUGUUGUAGCACUGUCAUGUCGUUUGGGACGUGCGUGCAAAAAUUCAGGUCAUUCGGACGUGUUUCGGUUAGGUUUUGAAUCGAAAGCGAGUUUUGUUAAGUUUGAAGUUUUCAAGUUCAUAAUAUUGAUUAAUUCGAGUUUACAGCGUUGUUAUAGGUGGUUUAAGGAUUUGGUACAAGUUUUAAUGAUGUUAUGGGAUAUGCUUGUAGGUUUUGUUGAGGUCCCGGGGGCCUCGGGAGUGUUUCGGAUGCCCAAUGGGGCAUGUUUGUGUUGAAAAAGAUUGCAGAGAAUCCUUCAGACAUGUUGCAGAAAUGCCUUCUCUGCGAUCGCAGAAGUGCUCCUGCGAUCGCGUAGUACUUCUUGGGGAGGCAUUUUUUCUUAGCGGUUUUGUACCGAUUCGAGGUAAGUGGUUUGUCUAACUUUGUGUGUGGGCCUCUACCCUUAGGAUAUCCUUGCAUACUUGUGCUAGUUGUUGAAAAUUCACCUUACUUGGCUUACUUAGACUAUGUUUCUUCAUGUAUUUACUGUUAAAAAUGCAACUUCACUUGUUUUAGUUUAGGAAAAGCAUGUUAGUAAUUUAUUUUCUCUAUUUGACGAAAUUGCAUUAUCUGUCCUCUUUGUGCUCAUGCUAGGUUCUAGAUCUUUACAUGUUGUUGCACUUGGCUUCUUCUGUUAAAUAUUGAAUUGUUGUGAAGUGUUUACGAUUGGGAUUACGGGUUCGAUUCCCGGGAGAUCCCCUGUUAUUGAUAUGAUGGACUACGGGUUCAAUUCCUGCGAGAUCCUCUGUUAUUGAUAUGAUGGACUACGGGUUCGAUUCUCGAGAGAUCCUCUGUUAUUGAUAUGAUGGACUACGGGUUCAAUUCCCGGUAGAGCCUCUGUUGUUGAUGUGACGGACUACGGGUUCAAUUUCCAAGAGAUUCUCUGUUAUAGGUGUUACGGACUACGGGGUCAAUUCCUGAGAGAUCCUCAGAUAUAGGUACGAAUGGACUGCGGGUUCAAUUCCUGGAUCUCAAUGUGGCAUCCUGACUUUUGAGUGAUUUUUCUUGUAUUCGUAGAUUGUAUUUGUAGCUUGUUCCGUUUUACUUAUUGUCUUGCUAGAUAUUUGGGAUUUACUUCAUUAUCUACUGUAUUUUAUUCUUACAUUAUUUCUUAUGUUCAUCUCAUUAGGUCAUCAACCUUCCUCGUCACUACUCCACCAAGGUUAGGCUUGGCGUUUACUGAGUACCGUUUUGGUGUACUCAUGCUACUCUUCUGCAAACUUUUGUUGUGCAGAUCCAGGUACUUCUGGUCGAGCGCGCUAUUAGUGACUUCGGAGAUACACUUGGAGAUUUGAGGUAUGCAUCUGUCGCGUCCACAGAGUUGAAGAGUCUCCUUCUAUUCUACUUUUAGCUAGUAGUUUCAUUCAUGUACUCAGUUGUUGUAGACACUUCUGGAUGCUAGAUCCAUAUGUUAUGUUUUACUCUUAUCCUGUGUUUCCCGUGGGUUUCCAGGUCUUUGAGGUUUUACAUUGUUUUGAUGUGAAGUGUAUGUGCCAGGCGGCACCCUAUACAUUUUCUUACGUUAUUCAGUAUUAUUUAUCGUUUUCGUAAAGGUUUUUGAAUUUCCGCAAUGUGUCAGGUUUACCUAGUCGCGAAGACUGGGUGCAAAGACUGGCUGCCAUCAUGACAGGUUCACGAUUGGUGAACUAGGGUCGUGACACAAGUCGGUAAAAAUAAUGACUUGCUCGAAAUAUAUUCAGGACAUCUCGUUAAGCGUGGAAGGGAGAAAGAGAAACAGAAAAGAUGAUCCAAAUGACUCUCCUGAUCAACAUUUCCAACCUCGACAUCGUACCCGUGAAUAUCCUCGUGCACUGGAUGACCCUUCCCAACGUUACUUUUCUCCAUAGAGUUCCCACACACAUACCUCACUUUCCAAGUACCCAGCUCCACAAAAUGCCUAUCCACCCCCACUGGAUAACCCUCCCCAACGUUACUUUUCUCCACAUGACUUCCAAAGACAUACCUCACUCUCCAAGUACCCAACUCCACAAAAUGUAUAUCCACCUCCACGAGCAUACCAAAAACCCCAUAGGUCAGGUUUUAGGCCAAAUCAGGCGUGUCAGAACAAGAGAUUUCUGAAACGAGAAACGGCUCUCACCCCUAUUGGAGAAUCAUAUGCCAGUGUGUUCCAGAAGUUGAAGCAAGUGGGCAUGCUGAAGCCGAUUCAAAUAAAAAUUCCAAACCCUCCAAAAUGUGAUUUUUCUUUAAAGUGUGCAUAUUGCUCAUAUGCUCCGGGGCAUGACACGAAAAAAGUGCUGGAAGCUGAAAAAAUGAAAUGUGAUUUUUCUCUAAUGUGUGCAUAUUGCUCAAAUGCUCCAGGGCAUGACACAAAAAAGUGCUAGAAGUUGAAGGAAGCAAUUAAGGAGCUUAUUGACGCGGGUAACAUCGUCGUACAAAGUACGGAUUCAUCGGACACCAGCCAAAAGCCGUCGCCUGCACAUAAUGGGGUAGAAAUGGUGGGUAUGAUUUGUUUUGAAAAGGAAUGUGAGAAUUCUCUAAGAGCCUCGGAGACCCAAAAACAAUUCGUUGAGGAUGCUCUGAUGAAAAGUUUGUAAAGUUCCUAAUAUUGGUGAUGCAGAAUUCAGCGGCUAAGAUGUCGUAUUUGGUAAUUUGAAAGACGCUCCAUUCCUAGGUCAGCCGGGAAGGAGCUUUGGUGGUCUAUUUUGUUGUCAUUUCUGUUGUCCGGGUUAUUUUCAGGGUUGUAAUCCGGAUAUUAUCUUAUGAUUCAAACCCUUCUAUCCUUUUAUGUGUUUAGUUCCUUUAGUCGUCAUAUCUUAUGUAGUGUUAUCUAGGUUUGUUUUAGUAUUGUACCCCGGUUGUGUUGCUUGUUUUGUUGUUAAACCCUUCCACCGUCUGUUUAAUACAAUUCUCUAUGUUCUUCCAUUUCUAGCAGGUUUGUUUUAGUAUUGUGCCCCAGUUAUGUUGCUUGUUUUGUUGCUAAACCAUUCCACCAUCUGUUUAAUACAAUUCUCUGUUUUCUGCCAUUACUAGUCAUUUUUGUUUAGUUCUCUUUUCUUUCUACAAUUCUUUUCCUGUUGGCUCUAGUGACAUGACAUGCAUGCAUAAUUCUCGGUCUGAUCUUUAAAACCAUUUUGAAGACGAUGAGGGCAUUUGAGGAAACACGAAUAGAUUUGGAUGUUGUGAGAUUGUUUGACGCCUGAACCAUGAAAACUGGGUCAAAAAGAACAAGUCGGCCAAAUUGUUAGAGGUUCGGUCGUGCUAAUAAGAGUAAGAGUGUUGCCCAAUGGUACAUUACAUCUGAUAGAUAUAGAAGGAAAUGUGAGGAAAGGGCCUUUAAUUCUGAUGUGGUCAAGAUAUGCUGUGUAUGGAAUCCUUUGUUCUGAUUAUAUUUAUUUGCAUUUGGCAUAUUUUGAGGUUUGAAAUGACGAAUGUGUUUUUUUCUGCUAUCCAAAUACUUUUUUCCCUUGUCACCCCUUUUGAGCCGUGUUUAUAUUCAUUCAUACCCCUAUUUCGGAAUUGACAGCACAAUGGAGAAGCGCAAGUGCCGCAAUUAAGUAAAAGAAAAAAAAAGAGAAAAGAAAAGAGAAAAGAAAAGGAAAGAAAAGAAAAGGAAAGAGAAGAAAAGAAAGAAAGAGAAGAAAGAAAAGAAAGAAAAGAAAAAUGAAGAAAAGAAAGGAAAAAGCAAGAAAAAUAGAAAGAAAAAGAACAGAAAGAAAAUCACAACAACAUAGUUUCUAUGACACGAACUACGUUUGAAUUGAUCCCGAAAGGGUACGAGGCAGCCUCUCUGAGAUUUAGCCAUUACCAAAUAAAAAUCCAAAAUUCCCCAAGCAAGACACCGAGGCAGAAGUUUUGAUUAUUGAAACAAAUAGGAUUUCGAGGGUUGUAUUUUUAACCCAUUUUGACAUUGUUUUGAGCAUUUUAUACCCUUAUUUUGUAACCCCAUCCAAAAUCCACAUUACGAUCCAAAGAAACACCUUCCGAUCAGUGUUUGAGAAAUGCCAAGUGAAGCAGGUAAGGGUAAUUCAUCUCAGGGGCAACACUACGGUGCAAGCAAGGAAAAUAAAAAUGAGAUAGUCGGAUGAUGAAAAUCUUCACAGGUACCGCAAGGCGAUGAGAGAUGAGAGAAAUAAAAAAUGAGAUAGUCUUAUUGGUGAAAACCUUCACGGGCACCUUGAGGCGACGGUAAGUUGAGAGAAAAAAUAAAAUGAGAGAGGUUUGUUGGUGAAAACCCUUUGGGCACUACAAGCCGAAUAAGGAAUGCGAAUUAAAUGGGAUAAGUGGAGCAUUGAAGCCCAGGUUCAUAGCAAAAGGAACAACAAGAGCUAAACGCCAGAAUUGAUUGAAAGAAUAUCUACAAAUGCAUUUCGUGGUCGUUAAAUUUGGUACUCACAUCAGAUAGGUAUAUAUUUCGUAGUUUUAUCUUUUAGGAAUCAUCUCUUUCCUUUGUCCUUCACUCCAUUCCUCUUUUUUAUUCACUUUCUCUUUUAAGUUUGUUUGAUCAUAACAAGUGAGAAAUGACUUCAAAAUUUGCUAUCAGCUUUCCAAUUUCACAAAAUGGGGGCACAAGCCCGAAAAAACAAUAAAAGUAUUGAGCUGGUAAUACUCAACAUGCUUUGGAGUGAGGCACAAGGAUUGGCUAAAGUCAGUCCAGGACCGGUGCAGAAAACAGAAGGUAUAGGGUCGUGAAUGUAGAAGAGGUAUGACAAAGGAAGUGGUUAGGCCAGAAAAAAGCAGGGGUUUUCAAAUGGAAGUUAGGGAUCAACAGACCCUAAAAGAAGAUAUUGGACCCUAACGGGGAAAAUGGGUAUUUCAAUUACGCAGAUUGUGGGGAAAGUGGUUAAUCAGUAAACAUGCAAGAUCUUCAAGAAGAAUCAGUUGUCAAAGAAAACAUAUGGGGUUAGAUAAGAAGAUUAGAAGUAAUAAUUGAGAGGUAGUCGUCAAGAAGGGCAAACGUUAUCAGCCAAGUUUCAAAGAUGGUCGGACAAUGAAAAGCAUGGAAAGGAGAAAAGGAAAUCCAUUCCCAGCAGGAGUACCGCAACCAACCACCGCACUUUAAACUGACAGAAUUUUCAUUGAUUUGAAAUAGGGGCACAGAAAUGUUAUGCUACAGGAAGAUUAUCAAAUUGGGGCAGAAAAUGUUUUGUCGUGUUGAAAUUUUCUUGAAGUCGGGUAUUCAUCUGAAGAACAUGAAUGUCAGUACAAGUGUUUUUAGAGAGGGAAGUAGUUUUCAGGAAAGAAACACCAGUUUUAAGAAAAAUAAUUUUUGGAGGAAUGAAACAUUAGUUUUUAGGGAGACAGUUUUGAAGGAAGAUAACUCAAGAUAGAAAAAAUAAGUUUCGGAGGAAAAUGAUUAGUCGAUAAAGAUCUUAGUAUGUUGAAUUUUUCACCUAAGAUAAAAAUCUUAGUCUGAUGAAUCUUUCACCUAAGAUGAAGGUAGAAGAUCUUAGUCUGACGAAUUUUUCACCUAAGAUAAAAAUUUUAGUCUGAUGAAUCUUUCACCUAAGAUAAAGGCAGAAGUUGGAAAAGAGAAAGGAAGGCAUAAUUUGGAAAAAGGAAAGGUAGAAGUUUGAAAAAGAAAAGAAGGCAUAAUUUGAAAAAGAAGGGGAAGGCAUAAGUACGAAUAAAGCAAGGAAGGCGUAAUUUGAAAAGAAAGGAAGUUGGAAUUUGGAAAAUUAAGAAAUUCUGAAGUCGAAAAAUGGACCUAGUCUAAUAAAUUAUUUCCUAGAGUCAAAAUCUCAGUCUGAUGAAUCUUUCUCCUGAGAUCACACAAAAAUGGACCUAGUCUGAUGAAUUAUCACCUAGAGUCAGAAUCUUAGUAUGUUGAAUCUUUCACCUUAGUCUGAUGAAUUAUCUCCUAGAGUCAGAAUCUUAGUGUGUUGAAUCUUUCACCCAAGGUAAAAUCUUGGUCUGAUGAAUUUUUUCACCGAAGAUCAUAGAUAAAUCUUACUCCUUUGAAUCUCUCUCCUAAGAUAAAAAUCUUAGUCUGAUGAAUUUUUCACCUAAGAUAAAGAUAAAUCUUAGUCUGUUGAAUCUUUCACAUAAGAUGAAAAUCAUAGUCUGGUGAAUUUUUCACCUAAGAUAAAGAUAAAAAUCUUAGUCUGUUGAAUCUUUCACCUAAGAUGAUCCUACGAUGAAAAUCUUAGUCGGAUGAAAUUUUCACCUAAGAUAAAAGAUAAAGAUCCUAGUCUGUUGAAGCUUUCUCCUAGGAUGAAAAUCUUAGUCUGUUGAAUCUUUCUCCUAAGAUGAAAAUCUUAGUCUGAUAAAUUUUUCACCUAAGAUCAAAAAACGAAAAGUCUUCGUCUACUGAAUCUUUAUCCUAUGAUGAAAAUCUUAGUCCGAUGAACUUUUCACCUAAGAUAAAAAAAUCAAAAAGUCUUAGUCUGAUGAAUUUUUCAUCUAAGAUAAAUUUCAAAUUUUAAGGUUCAUUUCAGUCUUUAAAGUUGCAUUUCAGCCUUAUCACAAUUCAAGUUUUAGUCCUUAUUAGUAUGUGGUAACAAGCAUCUAGUUUUCAAAACUAGGGCAGAAAAUUUUCCUUGUUUUGUCUAUUUUUGUGAAGUCAGGAGACCGCCUGAAGAACAGAGGAAUACAUUUAAGUUUUAUAGUCAGGAUCCCACCUAAAAAUUAGAGGAAUACAUUCAAGUUUUGAAGUCAGGAGGCCACCUGAAGAACAGAGGUAUAACAAUUUUUAGUUUUUACUCAUUCGGUAUCAAGCACCCCAGUUUUCCAAACUGGGGCAGAAAGUUUUCUUUGUUUUGUUUAUUUUGUGCAGUCAGGAGCCCGCCUAGAUAACAGAGGAAUACAUUCAAGUUUUAAAGUCAGGAGCCCGCCUGAAGAACAGAGAUAUUACAAUUCAAGUUUUGGUUAUUAAAUUUUCAUCCAGUAACAAGCACCCAGUUAUCCAAACUGGGGUAGAAAAUUUUCUUUGUUUCGUCUUUUAAAGUCAGGAGCCCACCUGGAUAACAGAGGAAUACAUUCAAGUUCAGCAAUUAAGGGAGAAAGAACAACAUUGCAGUUAGCAAGUUGAAGUAACAACAAGGGAUUUUACCGAGAAAACACAAGACAAUGAGGCAACAAGGAAACACAAGACAACAAGGUAACAAGGAAGUACAAGAGAAUGUUUGAAGAAUCUAGAUAGGACUUUUGUAAUUUAUAGAGCAUAGCUAGUUUAACUUAUUUUUAUCUUUAACAUGGUGUAAUAAGGGAGGUCAUCAAGCAGUAGCAACAGCAAGCGCAGUGAAAUUACAGCUCCUGUUAGUCCCAGCUACCAGACAUUUCCAAACUACACUGACCUGAUUCCUAUUUAGCCUAGGAUAUGUAGGCAACCUCUGAAGAAGGGUGCGGUCAAACUUUUAAAAAAUACUUCACACAGAAUUUUCAAACGGACAAAAAUUGCUCGUAUUUGCUCACUUGUCUUUGCACGAAAACUCUUCGUGUUUUUGAGCAAAGAGGGGCAGAUGUGAGCACGUGAUUUUUACCCUAUUUAUGAUUAAUUCCCAAAAAUUCAAACAAAAUAAUUUUUCUUUAUUUUUACAAUUUUCUGUGCGUUUUUGUGUCAUUUUUUGGUAAUUGUUGCAUUCGUAUUUGUUCCUUUUAAUUCAUGUGAAAAAUAAAAAAAGAUAUACAAUUGCAUUUGCAUUUAAUUUCCCAUGUUAGCAUUAAUUAGGUAUUAAUUUGUUUUAGAAAAAUGCAUGAAAAAUAAAAAAAAUAGUUCACUUUUGCAUUUCUAUUGUUUUAAUUGUGAAAUCGUCGCAAAUUAGUUUUAUUGUAAUUAUAGGCCAUUAAUUAGUUUAGUUUAAAGUUUUAUUUUUAUUAUACAUCUUUACAAAUAUCAGAAAAAUACAAUCCAAAAUUCUAAAUUGGGAAAUAAUAAAAAAAAACGAAGUGAAUUAAAAAAAAUGGAAUAAAAAAAGGAAGAGGAAUUAAAAGAAUUUGUCUUGUAAGAAUAUUCAAAUUUGGGCUUGUUUUGAUUUAAAUCCCCAGCCCAAUCCCAAUUCCACCUCAGAGUGGCCCAAACCCCUUCCCCAACCGAUCCAAGCCCUACUGCUCCGAAAAUCAUAAAAUGAUGUAGUACAGAGAGGUUACUACGUCGUUUUAAGGCUGGUUAGUAGUAAGUAAAUCCUGUCCAUCCAUUCAUUCUCAUCUGAUGGUCAUAAUUGAUUGGUGAAUUUGGAUAUAACUGUCCUAAAAAUGAAUUAAAACCCUAGACAAAUAUCAUCUUCCUCGUACGACCCUAUAACACCGCCUCCCCCGUCACUACUCCGCCGUCCGCCAAAAAACGUGGUCGCCGUCGUAACCAUUUCCCUCAAAUCCCAUCCAAUCAACUUGAAUGUUAAUCCGAAACUUCCCGGCCUAGUGACAAGUAUGUCCAAAUAAUCCCAAAUUGGUACCAUACAAUCACCUCGGCUUCCUUUGCACAAAUAUAUGGGUAUUUCAUUUCAAAUAUGACCAGGCCGCCUCCAAUUUCCAAUCUAGGGUUGUACGUGUUUGGACUGGUUUGGGGAUUUUUUAAGUCGAAUGAACUCAGGUUAAUAUUAUGGGUCUAUUUCUUAUAAAAUGGACAUAUAAUAUUAAUUUGAAGUUAGCUCCGAAGAGAAGUCCAAAUUGUCAUAAGUUUUCUUCUCUGUCUCUUCUUUAGAUUUUCUUUUAAAUUGAUUCGUUGUUUUCUACCAUAUUUCUUAAUUCCCAGUCUAGUUAAUAACACCUCGUUGCUUUAAUUGUUAUAAAUGUUUAGAUUAACUUCUUUUACGUUGAUUUUCAUUUCUUUGUGUGAAUUCUGAUUCGAUUUUGGUUUCGUUAGUUUGAAUGCUCAAAUGUUAAGUGGUUCAGUUAAUCGUUAGAUUCAUUUGGCUUUUUAUUUUUUUCUGUUAGUGUGAUGUUGAUUUGGUAUAGGUCUAUGAUUCCACUAAUUGGCUUAGUUUUAUAUGUCUGAUAAAGUUUUUUAGGUUCAGUAGUAUAAAGGUUAAAUUUCUGUUAAUCUGUUCAAAUAGAAUUUCAGUUUGCUCAUGUUGAUUUUGUCUAUUUUGUUCUUCUGAAACUGGCUCGAGUUGAUUUUAGUUUAUGAUUUUUCUUGUUGGUUGUCAAUUCAAUUAGUGUUAAUUGGUAUUGAUUAAUGAAGAGUUUUAAUUAGGUUUAAGGUUUGGAUAUAGCUGACUGGUCUAGUUGAUUUAACUUUAGUUAGGUGUUAACUAGGGUAAAGAGGUUUAGUGCAGUCAAUAAGGCCAGUAAUUUCAGACUAUUGGAAGGGAAAUUUAGUCAUAGAAAAGGGUAGUUUUAUUUGGAAUAGUAAUUUCAGAAUCAGGACAGGGGUAGUAUAGGCAUUGUACAGCUAAAAGAACCUUCCAAGACACUCCAAAUGGGGCUUUAGUAUAAGUUUUAAUAAUUUUAGUAGUAGUUACUUGGGGAACAAGUUAGAAAUAUGUGUGUUAAAAUGAAAAUAGGUAGAGACUUAUAGUUUGCCCUCUUUUGGCUUAUAAAAUGGCAUUCCUAUUCCCUGAAACACAAAUGGGGGAACCUCUAAAAAAACCCCAAAUCCUCCUCUAGCUCACAGAUCUGAAAAUUAAAAUUUCAGAUCCAAAUUCUUUAGAUUCUAGCUUCCAUCAAAAGAAAAAUCAAAAAAAAAGUAGAAGAUCUUUAGAAAUUAAAAAAGAAAAGUUCAGGAACUACUGUUCCAUUGAAGAUUUCAGGUUUUUGGUGUUUGAUUUUCAUUUCUUAGUUCAAAAUCUUUUGGUCAAGUUUUCAGGGGUGUUUUGAGUUUGCUUAAAGUGAUUUUAGGUGGUUUUUUUUUAUUGAGUUUUGCAUUGCAAAGUUUUAGAAGUUUUGAGUUCGGCUUAGAAUAUGUUUGAAUACAGUCAAGUAGUUUGUGGCUGAUAUUUUAGUCCCUGUUGGUUUCAAACUCUUUUUGGGUCAUUUCUAAGGAUAUUUGGUUUGUUCUGGAAUUGUCUCAGUCGAUCUUUCAGUUCCGAUUGGGUUUAAAUUUGGGUUGAUUUUGGUGAUUUGGGAAACUAUUAUUGCUUUUGGUUUUCAAACCUCUUCUGGGUUAUAAACUGAUUCCUGGGUGGUGUGGUGUUGCUACUCGCAUAUCUAUUGGUUUGCUGAAAUAGUGUUGCUGCUGAUUUUCCCUUUUCUGUUGCAAAUUCCAUUUCCAGGUACAUGCUUGAGCUUGUUGUGAUGUAUUCCUCCCAUGAAAUGGGAAUGCAAUUGAUACUUGAUACAUGCUGAAGUGUCCUUUACUGUUUUAUCAACUCAUUUUAUU